rnacentral:rRNA from 1 species
UCCCUACGGGACGCAGCAGUGAGGAAUAUUGGUCAAUGGGCGCGAGCCUGAACCAGCCAAGUAGCGUGAAGGAUGACUGCCCUACGGGUUGUAAACUUCUUUUAUAAAGGAAUAAAGUGAGGCACGUGUGCCUUUUUGUAUGUACUUUAUGAAUAAGGAUCGGCUAACUCCGUGCCAGCAGCCGCGGUAAUACGGAGGAUGCGAGCGUUAUCCGGAUUUAUUGGGUUUAAAGGGUGCGUAGGCGGAGUGUCAAGUCAGCGGUAAAAUUUCGGGGCUCAACCCCGUCGUGCCGUUGAAACUGACGC